rnacentral:rRNA from 1 species
AUAUUGCGCAAUGGGGGAAACCCUGACGCAGCGACGCCGCGUGAGUGAUGAAGGCCUUCGGGUUGUAAAACUCUGUCCUCAGGGAAGAAACAAAUGACGGUACCUGAGGAGGAAGCCCCGGCUAACUUCGUGUCAGCAGCCGCGGUAAUACGAAGGGGGCUAGCGUUGUUCGGAAUUACUGGGCGUAAAGCGCACGUAGGCGGAUUAUUAAGUCAGGGGUGAAAUCCCGCAGCUCAACUGCGGAACUGCCUUUGAUACUGGUAAUCUAGAGACCGAGAGAGGUAAGUGGAACUCCUAGUGUAGAGGUGGAAUUCGUAGAUAUUAGGAAGAACACCAGUGGCGAAGGCGGCUUACUGGCUCGGAACUGACGCUGAGGUGCGAAAGCGUGGGGAGCAAAC